AACGAACGCUGGCGGCAUGCCUAACACAUGCAAGUCGAACGAGACCUUCGGGUCUAGUGGCGCACGGGUGCGUAACGCGUGGGAACCUGCCCUUAGGUUCGGAAUAACUCCCCGAAAGGGGUGCUAAUACCGGAUAAUGUCUUCGGACCAAAGAUUUAUCGCCUUUGGAUGGGCCCGCGUUGGAUUAGCUAGUUGGUAGGGUAAAAGCCUACCAAGGCGACGAUCCAUAGCUGGUCUGAGAGGAUGAUCAGCCACACUGGGACUGAGACACGGCCCAGACUCCUACGGGAAGCAGCAGUGGGGAAUAUUGGACAAUGGGCGAAAGCCUGAUCCGGCAAUGCCGCGUGAGUGAUGAAGGCCUUAGGGUUGUAAGGCUCUUUUACCCGGGAUGAUAAUGACAGUACCGGGAGAAUAAGCUCCGGCUAACUCCGUG
rnacentral:rRNA from 1 species